UACAGAGGGUGCGAGCGUUGUUCGGAAUUACUGGGCGUAAAGCGCGCGCAGGCGGCCUUUUAAGUCUGCUGGUGAAAUGCCGGGGCUCACCCCCGUGCCCGCCACAGAUACUGGGAGGCUGGAGACGAGUAGAGGCAAGCGGAAUUCCGGGUGUAGCGGUGGAAUGCGUAGAGAUCCGGAAGAACACCGGAGGCGAAGGCGGCUUGCUGGGCUCGGUCUGACGCUGAGGCGCGAAAGCGUGGGGAGCGAACAGG
rnacentral:rRNA from 1 species